rnacentral:rRNA from 1 species
GUCGAGCGGUAGCAUUGGGAGUACGUUUUCUGGGUGACGAGCGGCGGACGGGUGAGUAAUGUCUGGGAAACUGCCUGAUGGAGGGGGAUAACCACGGGAAACGGUGGCUAAAACCGCAAAACGUCUCAAGACCAAGGAGGGGGACCUUCGGGCCUCUUGCCAUCACAUGUGCCCAGAUGGGAUUAGCUAGUAAGUGGGGUAAUGGCUCACCUAGGCAACGAUGCCUAGCUGGUCUGACAGGAUGACCAGCCACACUGGAACUGAGACACGGUCCAGACUCCUACGGGAGGCAGCAGUGGGGAAUAUUGCACAAUGGGCGCAAGCCUGAUGCAGCCAUGCCGCGUGUGUGAAGAAGGCCUUCGGGUUGUAAAGCACUUUCAGCGAGGAGGAAGGUGGUGAACUUAAUACGUUCAUCAAUUGACGUUACUCGCAGAAGAAGCACCGGCUAACUCCGUGCCAGCAGCCGCGGUAAUACGGAGGGUGCAAGCGUUAAUCGGAAUUACUGGGCGUAAAGCGCACGCAGCGGUUUGUUAAGUCAGAUGUGAAAUCCCCGGGCUCCACCUGGGAACUGCAUUUGAAAACUGGCAAGCUAGAGUCUCGUAGAGGGGGGUAGAAUUCCUGUGUAGCGGUGAAAAUGCGUAGAGAUCUGGAAGAAUACCGGUGGACGAAAGCGGCCCCCUGGACGAAUAACUGACUGCUCAUGUGCGAAAGCGUGGGGGAGCAAACAGGAUUAGAUACCCUGGUAGUCCACGCUGUACAACGAUGUCGAUUUGGAGGU